GUUUUGACGUGGUUCGUAAACUUAGGCAGGCCAACUCGAGACGAGACGCAAGGUGUACCGAAGUGAGGUAAUUUGCGACUCGUAAUUCAACGGAGGCAAGCGUAACGCCCAUCCGGAGGAGGACUUCGCUGGGACGAAAUAGAAUAUUGAAUUAUUAUUUUGACUUAUUUUGUACAUAAUUUAGAAUUAAUAGAUUUGCUUUGUUUUCAA
rnacentral:lncRNA from 1 species